rnacentral:rRNA from 1 species
AGAGUUUGAUCCUGGCUCAGAUUGAACGCUGGCGGCAGGCCUAACACAUGCAAGUCGAGCGGAUGAGUGGAGCUUGCUCCAUGAUUCAGCGGCGGACGGGUGAGUAAUGCCUAGGAAUCUGCCUGGUAGUGGGGGACAACGUUUCGAAAGGAACGCUAAUACCGCAUACGUCCUACGGGAGAAAGCAGGGGACCUUCGGGCCUUGCGCUAUCAGAUGAGCCUAGGUCGGAUUAGCUAGUAGGUGAGGUAAUGGCUCACCUAGGCGACGAUCCGUAACUGGUCUGAGAGGAUGAUCAGUCACACUGGAACUGAGACAC